rnacentral:rRNA from 1 species
UACGUAGGGUGCAAGCGUUGUCCGGAAUUAUUGGGCGUAAAGAGCUCGUAGGCGGUUUGUCGCGUCGGCUGUGAAAACUCGGGGCUCAACCCCGAGCCUGCAGUCGAUACGGGCAAACUAGAGUGUGGUAGGGGAGACUGGAAUUCCUGGUGUAGCGGUGAAAUGCGCAGAUAUCAGGAGGAACACCGGCGGCGAAGGCGGGUCUCUGGGCCGAUACUGACGCUGAGGAGCGAAAGCGUGGGGAGCAAACAGG